rnacentral:lncRNA from 1 species
AGCAAGUGCACCACCUAAGCUAUGCCCAGUGACUACAAAUUUUGCGUUCUUGUGGUCUUUUAGUAAUCCCUUGAGCGUCGAUGCCGCAAGAAAGUAAACACCAUCAUAUGCCCAUACCAAGUGGUCCGGAGCCAUCUCGGACUCUUUCCUUAAUUCGGUUAUGCUUCCUGGCGACUUUGUGUUAAUGCUAGUCUCAAAGCUGGAAAUAGAAUUUCUGUGACCCAAACCCAUUGCUUCUAAGAAUCCAACAUGGACACUUCCUGCGUCUCCCAACCCAACUAAGGAGAAAUCAAAAUCAGUACACCAAUUUGGUAUACUAAAAGGUCCUGUGCCUCUGAAGCUGAUCACUAUCAAGUUUGCAUCUUUUGGCUUGUCACAAAAGAUGAACGCAUGAGUGUUCCUUGCAUCUUGGAAAUCUAUAGAUGAAAGAGUUAAUAAUUAAAGAAAUUAAAACAAAAACAUGAUCAGAUGAGGGGCUUUAAUGAAUGAGUUGAAUCUAUGAAACUAAAUGCAAUGCAAUUGUAUUUUAUAUUUAUUUAAUGCUAAUGAUUUUAAGUGAGCAUUUAUUGAGUCCAAG